rnacentral:lncRNA from 1 species
AUACGUGCCGAAGCCUCUGCAAGCUUCUGCAGUAACAGAGUAUACGUCUUCAUUUUGGAUAGUUUUCCAUGUGUCUUAUGGCCAGCAUUCAUUUUAGUAACGUAAACUGUAGUUUUAGUUUUAAGUUUAGUUUAUAGUUAAUUAUAACAACUUUGAUUCACACUUUUGUUUUGGCAGGUUGUUUGUGCCAGCAGAAACCAUUCAUGAAAGAUGCACCCCUGAGGCUUACAGAGGUAUACUCCAUCAUCUGCUAAGCAGGCUGGUUCCGGAGGGGCAAAUAAGAGCUGCUUCAAUGACAGUCUAGUAAGUAAGAGCUGCUCACCUCAAUUAUGGGAGUUAAUGAAUAGAUAAUCACAUUUUGAAUUUAGAUUUGCUGCUUGUGUUGCAAGA